rnacentral:rRNA from 1 species
AUUGAACGCUGGCGGCAGGCCUAACACAUGCAAGUCGAACGGUAACAGGAAGACGCUUGCUUCUUUGCUGACGAGUGGCGGACGGGUGAGUAAUGUCUGUGAAACUGCCUGAUGGAGGGGGAUAACUACUGGAAACGGUAGCUAAUACCGCAUAACGUCGCAAGACCAAAGAGGGGGACCUUCGGGCCUCUUGCCAUCGGAUGUGCCCAGAUGGGAUUAGCUAGUAGGUGGGGUAACGGCUCACCUAGGCGACGAUCCCUAGCUGGUCUGAGAGGAUGACCAGCCACACUGGAACUGAGACACGGUCCAGACUCCUACGGGAGGCAGCAGUGGGGAAUAUUGCACAAUGGGCGCAAGCCUGAUGCAGCCAUGCCGCGUGUAUGAAGAAGGCCUUCGGGUUGUAAAGUACUUUCAGCGGGGAGGAAGGGAGUAAAGUUAAUACCUUUGCUCAUUGACGUUACCCGCAGAAGAAGCACCGGCUAACUCCGUG